UACAUGUGGGGCAAGCGUUGUUCGGAAAUUACUGGGCAUAAAGGGUGCGUAGGCGGUUUGUUAAGAUCACUGGUGAAAGUUUUCGGCCCAACCGGAAAAUUGCCUGUGAUACUGGCGAACUUGAGUGCGUGAGGGGUGGGGGGAACGAGCAGUGUAGCGGUGAAAUGCGUAGAUAUUGCUCGGAAGGCCGGAGCCGAAGGGGCCCCACUGGUACGUAACUGACGCUGAAGGCAGCGAAAGCGUGGGGAGCAAACAGG
rnacentral:rRNA from 1 species